rnacentral:rRNA from 1 species
GACGAACGCUGGCGGCGCGCCUAACACAUGCAAGUCGAACGAGCGAGAGAGAGCUUGCUUUCUCAAGCGAGUGGCGAACGGGUGAGUAACGCGUGAGGAACCUGCCUCAAAGAGGGGGACAACAGUUGGAAACGACUGCUAAUACCGCAUAAGCCCACGACCCGGCAUCGGGGAGAGGGAAAAGGAGCAAUCCGCUUUGAGAUGGCCUCGCGUCCGAUUAGCUAGUUGGUGAGGUAACGGCCCACCAAGGCGACGAGCGGUGGCCGGACGGAGGGGUGGAACGGCCAGAUUGGGGCUAAGACACGGCCUCGACUCCGACGGGAGGGAGCAGUGGGGAAUAUUGCACGAGGGGGGAAACCGUGAUGCAGCGGCGCGGCGUGGAGGAAGAAGGGCUUCGGAUUGUAAACUCCUGUUGUAGAGGAAGAUAAUGACGGUACUCAACAAGGAAGUGACGGCUAACUACGUG